ensembl:lncRNA LOC102556915 uncharacterized LOC102556915
AUCAACAGUGUUAGGGCUUGGUGCUUGCCCAUGGGAUGGGUCUCUAGUUGGACCAGUUAUUGCUUGGCCAUUCCUCGGUUCCACCCUCCAUCCCUGCAUUUCUUGAAGAGUGUUCAACUCACUUAGCAAAGACGGUGCUACCUGAAUUGGAGGCUGGUGUCUUCUGACUCCUUCAACUCCCUUUGAGAUGUGGGAGUGAUGGUUGCAGCACAUCCUGCUUACUGAUGAUGAGAGCUACACACAGGAGGAAGUGGAACGGCGCCUUGGAAACAGUCACUACUGUGGUCAGUGCCUCCUGAGGACUGCACUAAACCACAGAAGAGGGUAAUAGAAGCUGCAUGCUGUUUAAAGUUCUGUUUGUGCCUCUGAAACUAGUCAUGACCACUGUGAGGUUUUUAUUUGGUUAGCUGUCUUUAGAGUAGCACGUAUAACCCCUUGAUAAAAUGUUUAAAGAAAACAGCAGUCUCUCUCACCACUGUCAGUCCUCUCUUUUCUGCUACUGAAAAAAAUCAAUGUGAGCCGAUGAACGGACGCCAAUACAGUUUAAAUAUGUGACCUAUAGCUUGGCUGCUACAUAUUAUUUUUUUUUUCUUUUUUUCGGAGCUGGGGACCGAACCUAGAGCCUUGCGCUUGCUAGGCAAGCGCUCUACCACUGAGCCAAAUCCCCAACCCCAUAUUAUUUUAACAUACACCUAUAUCUCUAAGAUUUCUUAUUUAUAUGACUACACUGUUGCUGUCUUCAGACACACUAGAGGAAGGCAUCAGAUCCCAUUACAGGUGGUUGUGAGCCACUAUGUGGCAUGUGACUGUUAGAAAUUGAACUCAGGGCCUCUGGGAGAGCAGUCAGUGCCCUUAGCUAUAGAACCACCUCUCUAGUCACCAUGUAUUUGCUUGUUUGUUUGUUUAUAACAUAAAUAAGUACAGGUAGGCUUUGUUCUGGAUCUUUAUUUCCAUGAAAUAUGAAAAUAUGCACUGUUGAUGCUUUCUUCUCAUAAGAAUGAGGCUUAUGCCCAUGGAUGCUAUAGUGGUACGAACAUUACAUGGCUAACCAAUGGCUUUAGGAUCAGGUUUAAGGCCUACUUUACAGAAGAAAAAACAUGCUCACUUCAAUAAAUCUGACCAAGAACCCGCUACAAAUUUCUAAAUGGAAAUAGCUAAAUAGGUUAGAGUAAGGCUUUGCUUUGUAUUGUGAAAGUUGCUAGAACCAAGUUUAAUUUUAGCAACCUCUAAAGACAAAAAGGGUGGAGCAGAAAGGUCUCAGAUUAAAUACUCUCAUUGUCUCAGGGAGACUGAACGCAGACCUUCAUGCUUGUUAACAUGCACUCUGUCGCUGAACUUCAACCCCAGCCCCGAAGCAUUCUGAUUAAUAAAAGAACCCACGCUGUAAGAUGUGAAACGUUCAUCUAGACCUUAAAUACAAACUUAAAUUCCUAUAGCACUCAUACCCUCUGGAUUAUAGCAUAAGACUAAUGUACUCCGCAUGCAUUUUGUAAUUUCAUGGUCAUUCCAUGAUUUAGAGUGAGAUUGAAUAAAACUCUAAAGUGAAC